GUGUUUGUUAUAAUAUACAAUGUCACAUAAAAAUUAUAUAUUUUUGUAUCGUGUAGAAUUUGUUGUGUAGACUAGUUAUUUAAUGAUAAAAUAACCAUAAUACGUAUACGGAAAGUUUUUACUAGUUUAUUUGUAACAAUAGGUUACAUUUUAAAAUAAUAUUUUUAUAAACUAGACUGGUUGUAUUUUCGGAUAAAAGGAUAAUUUGUUUGUAUAAACGAACUAUAUAGGCACAUGUAUCCCACCCCCACCCCUACCCCCCGAGAUAAUUAAAAUUAAUAAAAAAAGGCCGUAACGCUCGCCCUUGAAGUGUGAGUUCGAGUUGUUCGGAGUUUGUUUAUUUUUGGGAAGAUUGACGUGAGAAACCGUAAAGUCACGUCUCUUGAACUUUGAAAUAUUUCGGGCACCGUUUCGUAACGUAUUUAAACUAUUGGGAGCUGUUGAAUAUUUUAAUUAACCAAAAUAUGACUACUUUGGUUAAAAUAAAUCAAGGGAGGGGCUGAAAUGGUUUAAAUGGAAAUUAAGUUUGGGAAUUGGAUUCAUUUUGUUAAGAAAUCUCCAUGGGAGGGGCUAUUUUGAAUAAAUGGGUUCAAUGUUUGGGGUUGGGACUGAUUUUGAAUAAAUGAUUUAAUGAGGUUAGUUUGGUCAUUUCACAAAGCUAAAUGAAAUUAGGGCUUUGAUGCCCCAGUUUCCUUGUUUGGACGAUUAGAGGGAUAAUUGAAUGAAACUGAUGAACGAAGGCGAUUGGAGGGAUGACGAUGUCAGUCGCCCAUUCGUUGAUCGGGCAAAGGAAAAGAACUGAUCGAAGGCAAGACAAAACGAACGCCUCCGGUGGUCCAUCUGGCGAGCAAAGAAGAAGAAAUACGGGAACGAAAUCAGAAGAAGGAAACACGCAGGCGAUGACUCUGCAUCUGGGUCCUUGCUCGUCGGAGGUGACGAAGAAGCCCGAAGGAAGAAGAAGCUCGCAGGCGGCUAAUGCGAAAUUUUUUUUCGAUUGAUCGCGAAGGGAACGUCUCCGGGGGUUGGCGGGGCCGAAGAGACGGAGGGAAGAGCAGGGAGGCUGCGCUAUUUCUGUCAGAUAGCGAGAGGCUAAAGGGAAAGCGGUUCAGUGGUUUUUGGAUCGAGGGUGUGGUGUGGCUAAGAGGUUGUGAAGGGAGGGAAAAGGAGAACAGAUGCAGCGGUGCUUCUGGUGGUCUCGGUGGGUGCAGCGUGGGCUGCUCAAACGGUUUGCCUUCGUUUUCUUUUCUUCUUCGUUUUUUUUUUUUUUUUUUUUUUUUUUACANGGGUUGUUUUGUUAAAUAAAAAAAAAAAAAAAAAAAAAAAACGAGGGAGGCUGCCACGAGGAAGAAGAAGGAAGAGAAGAACGAAGGAAGAAUGAACUGGAAGCUGUGGUUCUUUUUGUUUGCAGGUAAACACGAGAAUAAGAACAAGAAUGUUCUUGACUGGAAACAAAGAUGCAGGCAGAAAAUAAAGGUUUCCAGUUGAAGAUUUAAAUUGUUAUUGGUUGUUUGUGAAUCAAGCAUUUGUGAUCGGUUGUUUUUUUUUUUUAUCGUUGUAGAGUUGUUUUUGAGUGUGGUAUUGGUUGAAGGAAGAGUGCAAGCAAGCUUCAGAGAUGCUUUCUUUCCUUUGUGUGUAAUUUUAGAUGUGCAAGAAUUAAUAGCUGUCAUUUGGGUACAAUAUGUGUAUUUUGUGUGAAAUUUGCAAAUAAUGAAUUUCUUUAUGUAUUAUGUGUAUGUAUUGAUAUAUUAAUUUAAUUGGUCAUUUAAUUGUGUGUAUUUUUGAAAAUUAGAUGGUAGAGAAAGGGAUAAAAAUUAUGUAAAAAGAAUAUCCAAGAACAUAUGGUUGAAUAAUUGUGUCAAGGUAUAUGACUUAUGAUACCAAAAUGGGUGUCACCCUUGCGGUAUUUAAAAUUUUAGAAAACAGUUUUUCACGAUUUGUGUGUUAUCGAUCCCAAUUUUAAAUAUAUUCCUGAAAAUGGUGAAUGAUAGAGUUUAGUUCAAUAAUUUCAAAUUUUAAACUGAUUAAUUUUUUGAGUUAUAGAAUUCCGUGAAUCGCGUUUAAUUAAUCCAAAAACUUUUGAGUUUAUGUAUUUCAUAAUAUUUUUUUACUAAAAAUAUAUCAAGUAUGAAAUUAAAUAAUAAAUUAUGACCUGAGUGGAAAAAUGUUCUCGGAAUUUCCAUCUGAGGUGUGCAAGUCCCUCAACUGAUAGAAACGAUUUUGACAGUUUUAAGAAAAACAAUAUUAUAUUGGUUUCGAUUCUUAACAUGGUCAUAUCUUUUGCAUACGGACUCUGUUUUGGACGUUUAUAUUUUUGGAAACAAAGAAACAUGUACUACGAGACUAGAGUGCUUGUUUUGCUCAUAACUACUUAGUACAAAAUUUCAGUUUUUCAGACGCAUUAACUAUGAUUGCAGUUUGAGCUGUUUGAUUCGUUUGUCAGCUUACACAUUUGGAAGUAAUAUACCAUCUGAUAUCAUAUAAUAGUUAACAUGAACUCAUUUAUUUUACAUAAGAUGCAGUAAAACUCAAGGAGUCAAUUUACCAAGAGAUUUAUUGUGAACUUGAUCGUUCACGGUCUAUGACAUAAAUUUUGGGAUUUGACACAAUGCCAAGUCUUUCAUCGACACCAACUUCUUAAUGUUAUCAGAAUAGUCAGAUGGGACUUUCACCCCAUGCAAACAUUUACAAAAUUUGGUGUUGUCGGUUUUAGACAUGGUAUAACAAGUUGGUGGUAGAUACAUACGCUUUUGUUCAUUCUUAACAGGUGCAAGUUCCGGUCGAAUUCCUAUUUCGACCAUAUCUUCUCGAACUUUGAUACCAUCCUUCUUUUUCCGAGGAAUAUUCAACAAAAACCCUAUCAAACUUUUAGAAAAAAAUUUCCCAAUAUGCAUCAGAUCAAAACAGUGUCGAACUUCCAAGUGCUUCCAAUAUGGCAACUCCCAAAAUAUAGACCUCUUCUUCCAUAUAUUUUUUUGGAGGAUUUUUACAACACUUUCCAAACACAAUGUUCAAGUUAUUAACUCUUGAUAAUACACCUUCUCCUUCAUUGCUGGUCUUGUCACUUUGUCUUCAAUUUUACAAUUGAACAAAUGUUUUUGUGUAUGAUACACAUGUUUUACAGGAAGUGACCUUCUAUGACCCAUGAAUACAUUCUUCUUACAGUUUGUUAACCAUAACGAGCAUGGUUCAUAUUCACAAAUAGGAAAUUCCGUUCCUUAUUUUGUAGUAUAUCCUGACAAGGUCCCUUACGCUGGAAAAUCAUUUAUGGUGCACUAAAUCAUCACUCUGAGUUGGAAAAUUUCCUUCAUGUAGGCAUCAUAUACUGUGACAUCCCCAAAAUGUCGGCCAGAAAAGACCGAUUUUCAUUUAUGCUUUUAAAAUAAUUUCAGAGUAAAUCCUUUUGAUUUGAAAGAGUUGCGGAAUUUGUUCCCAAAAACAAAACAUGAUAAAACAAUGUUUACCAAAGCAUUUCAUAAAAGAAAUGUAUUUUCCUUAUAUAAUCAAAACUCGGGGUGUCAUGUUCCGAUACAGACCAAUAAGCAUAAACGAUAACAUUACAAGUCAUUCAACAAAUAUACACAUAUACAGACUUGUAAACAAAACAACUUGAUGGUUCAUCCAUCUUAUGCCCUCGCACCACUUCCUGUAAUACAAAUAAAACUGAGUGGGUCAGGCUUGGGAGCCUGGUGAGCAUAUAGGGUUUUCAACCCACAAUAAAUAAUUAAAUUUAAUUUCCACCAACCAACAAUAACCCAAUUACCCAUUCCCGUUAUUCUCACUUUAUGUCCCUAAGACAACUAACAUAAGGGACCUAGUCUAAGAAUAUUUCAUCGGGGCGACAACACAUGCUUCAGGGGUUCCUCAACAAUAUAAGUCAAAUAAGGCAACCAUGAGGGGGAUGGAGUACAGCGAAUGAGCACCCAAGUUCAUUAACACCUACAGGUGGCGAACCUGCUAAUGUUCCACAAGACUGUCUAGAAAAGUCUGUGGUCGUCAUCUAAACUCCGCUAGAUGACUAAAUCAAACAACAACGAGGCCUCUCAUCUGUUUAUUACACACCAACUAUCUACCCAUGUUCUACCCAACAUAUUAGUAGAUAAAAAUAUACAUUUUUAUACAUAGUUUAAAAACCUGUAUAGCAUGCUUUAAUCAAUACAUAUUCCACAUAACAGAUGAGGCACACACACACAUAACACGUAUUUCAUAGAGAAUAAAUCAUAUCUAUGAGAUAGAAGAAAGUGAAUACACAUUCACACAUAUAAACAACAAUAUACUUAAUACACUCAAACCAUACUUGUAUUAUUAUCGUGUUUAUGAAAGGUAGUAUACACUCACUUGAUCAGAAGAUGAUCGGACAGCACUACGACUUGCAGAAGUAGUAAUCCUCAGCAGAUCUGGAAGAUCUUCACAAAAAUCGAACUUCUCGCGGGCAGAGCUUCGGCUCGGGAACCGCACUUCUCGGGAUCUUCGGGAUCUCGGGACUUGCCUCGGGGCUCGAGAAUAAUACCGGGGCUUCGGGGUAUUUCUGGCACGCAAAUCGAUGCAAAACGGGAGAGAGAAGAGAGAAAAUAGCAAAAGAACUCGGCUGCCCUCGCAUCCUAUUUAUAGGAGGCUGGAGCCUCGGAGUACGCGGGGCGUACUGGUCCGAAAUCGUCACUGCGUUCGCCAUCCGAAGCCACUUGCUGCGAGUGUCGACAUCUUCGGUGUACGCGGGGCGUACUUCGGAUCGGAUCGCUGACUCCCCUUCGGAUAAUGCCGGAUUUUCCAAUUAAAAUUAAAUACAAAUUAUUUAAUAAACUUCGGAAAUUCAUAUCUUCUUCAUACGAACUCCGUUUUCGACGUUCUUUAUAUCCACGCGAAGGUGAGACUACGCUCUACAACUUUCGUUUAGACUCCGUCGGCUAAUUUUGACUUUAUUUUUAUUAUUUAUUUUUAAUAGGCCGGGACAGAAAAACUUCGUUAUAAAUUCAUAACUUCUUCGUUUGACGUCCGUUCUCGCCUAACUUUUUAUCGCUUCGAUACCAACAACGAGACCUUCGAUCCUCGUUUAGAUUGCUUCGGCUAAAAACCGCUCGAUCUCAAAUCGAGUAUUUCAGGCUGCAUACCGCUAAGUCGAAACUUCGAUAAAUCAUAACUUCCUCAUACGAAGUCAGAUUUGGGCGUUCUAUAUAUAUUCGGAAACCUCGUUUCAACUACUACAACAUUAUCCAAAGAUAUCAAGUUUAUUUUACACUUAAAUUUUGACGCUUAUUUUUAUUCUUAAUUAAUCAAACCACAUAAUUAAGCAAUUAAGCACAAAACACAUAAUACUCAAAUAAUACACUCUUAUUAUUUCAAAACGGGUUACAAAGGUUAACCUAGACUAUUACAUUGCUAAAAAUGGCAAGCCCGGAAACACAGGCGUUACAAUUCUCUCCACCUUAGAAUGAUUCCGUCCCCGGAAUCACACAUCAACAAACAAAUGCGGAUAGCGACUCAACAUGUCACUCUCCGUCUCCCAGGUGAGAUUCGGCCCAUUCGUGUGUUUCCAUCGGACAAGCACUAACCCAACCAUUUUGCGUCGCAACUUCUUAGUCUUUCGGUCAACAAUUGCCUCUGGUUCUUCAAUCAACCUUUUGUUCUCAUCAAUUCUCAAUUCAGAAAUUGGAAUUAUAUCGGGAACUUCUCCCGUGAACUUCCUCAAAUAACACACAUGAAAGGUGUUGUGAAUUCCAUUCAGUUCUUCGGGUAAUUCGAGCUUGUAAGCUUGGUUCCCAAUCCUCUGAAGAACUUUAAACGGUCCAAUAAACCUUGGACUCAACUUUCCCCUUUUACCAAAUCUUAUAAGUCCCUUCCACGGCGAGACUUUAAGCAAAACCGAAUCUCCAACCUCAAAAGUCAUCGGUCUUCGCUUUUUGUCAGCAUAGCUCUUUUGACGAUCUUGAGCUGCUAACAUUCUUUCCCUAAUUAUUUUCAACUUUUCAGCAGUUUGAUGAACCAUCUCCGGUCCCAUAAACUGCUUUUCCCCAGCCUCAAGCCAACAAGACGGCGUACGACACUUCUGUCCAUACAAAGCUUGAUAAGGUGCCAUCUUAAUGCUCGAGUGAAAACUAUUAUUAUAGGAAAAUUCUACCAACGGUAAAUGUUCAUCCCAAUUACCUAGGAAUUCCAAGGUACAUGCUCUCAGCAUAUCUUCAAGUGUUUGUAUUGUUCUUUCACUCUGACCAUCAGUCUGCGGAUGGUAAGCUGUGCUUAAACAUAACUUGGUACCCAUUUCCUCUUGUAGACUUUUCCAAAACCUUGAGGUGAAACGGCUAUCACGAUCCGAUACAAUCGUUAACGGAACACCGUGAAGCCUCACAAUUUCCUUCACGUAAGAAUUCGCAAGCUUUUCCAUAGACCAUUUCUCCCUGGCCGCUAUGAAAUGCGCACUCUUAGUGAAUCGAUCAACGACCACCCAAAUCAUGUCGUGACCAUUCUUUGUUCUGGGCAGUUUAGUGACAAAAUCCAUAGCAAUGUCUUCCCACUUACCCAUAGGCACAGGCAAUGGUUCUAAACUCCCGUACGGUUUCUGAUGUUGUGUCUUGACUCUCGCACAAGUCACACACUCGGCCACAUACUUUGCAACAUCAAGCUUCAUCGUCGGCCACCAGUAGUAGGGUUUCAGGUCCCUAUACAUUUUAGUGCUACCCGGAUGAAUCGAGUACAUGGUCUUGUGAGCUUCUUCCAUCAGAAGAUCCCUAAUUCCUCCUGACUUAGGUACCCAAAUACGAUCUUGGAAUACCUUCAGUCCAUGACCGUUAGUACCAAACACCAACGUUUUACCCAAACGUUCCUCCUUUCGGUCAUUUUUCUCAGAAGCUUCCUCUUGAGCUUUCUUUAUACUUUCCACAAUGGUCGAGACAACUUCAAUUCUCAACGCUCUUGGCCUCUUCCUUUCAAGAUUGACCUUCCGACUGAGAGCAUCAGCAACAACAUUAGCUUUACCGGGGUGGUAAAGUAUCUCGCAGUCGUAGUCUUUAAGUAAUUCUAGCCAGCGUCGUUGCCUCAUAUUCAAUUCUUUCUGAUUAAAGAGGUAUUGGAGACUCUUAUGAUCAGUGAAAAGUUUGCACUUCGUGCCAUAGAGGUAAUGCCUCCAUAUUUUCAGAGCGAAAACUACCGCUGCCAACUCCAAAUCAUGAGUCGGGUAAUUCUUUUCAUGCUCUUUCAGCUGUCGAGACGCAUAUGCUAUCACCUUUUCUCUUUGGGUCAAAACACAACCCAAUCCAACACCAGACGCAUCGCUAUAAACAGCGAAGUCUUCAACUCCAUCGGGUAGAGAAAGUAUCGGUGCCUCGCAUAGCUUCUUCUUUAACUUCUCGAAUGCUUCUUUAUGCUUCUCACUCCAAGCAUAAGUAGCUCCUUUGUGGGUCAAAGCUGUUAAUGGAGUAGCAAUCGAAGAAAAGCCUUGGAUAAACCUUCGGUAAUAUCCGGCUAAUCCUAAAAAGCUUCGAAUCUCCGUGGGACUUUUCGGUUGUUCCCACUUCGUCACAGCUUCGAUCUUCGCUGGAUCAACCAUUAUCCCUUCUUGGUUGACCACGUGACCCAAGAAUUGGACUUCACGAAUCCAAAAAUCACAUUUGGAGAACUUCGCAUAAAGCUUCUCCUUCUUCAAAACUUCUAACACUUCUCGCAAGUGUCUGCCAUGCUCCUCCUGGCUUUUCGAGUAGAUCAGAAUGUCGUCUAUGAACACUAUCACGGAUUUAUCAAGGAAAGGAUUACAAACCCUAUUCAUCAAAUCCAUGAACGCUGCUGGAGCAUUGGUUAGUCCAAACGACAUAACCAAGAACUCGUAGUGUCCAUAUCUAGUUCUGAAUGCAGUCUUCUCGAUAUCUUGCUCUCUUACUUUCAGCUGAUGAUAUCCUGACCUAAGAUCGAUCUUCGAGAAAUAGCUCGAACCUUGCAAUUGAUCAAACAGGUCAUCAAUCCUCGGCAACGGAUAUCUAUUCUUUAUUGUUGCCUUGUUCAGCUCUCUGUAAUCGAUGCACAUUCUCAUACUUCCAUCUUUCUUCUUUACAAAUAACACCGGAGCUCCCCAGGGCGAUGAACUAGGUCUAAUGAAACCUUUGUCCAAUAACUCCUGAAGUUGCAUCAUUAGCUCCUUCAUCUCCGUCGGUGCUAAUCGAUAAGGUGCUUUUGCUAUUGGCGUGGUUCCUGGUAACAAGUCUAUUCUGAACUCCACUUGUCUAUCAGGUGGUAAUCCAGGAAGAUCCUCGGGAAAUACUUCCGGAUAAUCACACACCACUGGAAUGCUCUGCAUCACCUUCUUUUCUUUCUUAGCAUCAAUCACGAAUGCUAAAUAUGAUGUACAUCCCUUGGUCAAACACUUUCUGGCUUUCAUUAGAGAAAUGAUUCCAGAAUUCACUCUGCGUUUGUCCCCAUACACCAUAAACGAAUCUUUUCCAGGCGGGUUUACUUUAACUAUCUUCUUCUUGCACAAAAUUUCGGCAUCAUUGGCGCUAAGCCAAUCCAUUCCCAAGACGAUGUCGAAACCAUUUAGUUCGAUAGGCAAUAAUUCCUCGAGAAACUUAUUCCCAUUAAGGUCGAUCAAGACGUUUUUCAUACGAUGGCUAACAGGUACAAACUUGCCACUAGCUACUUCGACUAAUAAAGCAUUAUUUAGUCUAUCAACAGGCAAAGCUAGCUUUCUACCAAACUCAUGCGAAAUAAAGGAGUAGUUGGCUCCAGAAUCAAACAAUAUAUGAGCAGGUAAUUCGUUUACGAGAAAGGUACCUGAAGCGACAUCAGCUUCAUCUUUCGCAGCCUCAAGUGUCAUCUGGAAGGCUCUCGCCUUCGGCUUUGGUGGAAUGUUGGGCCUAGCUGCCUCCUUCUUCUUCGGACAGUCUUUCAAAAUAUGCCCCACUUCAUUACUACCAAAACACAUCCUUUUGUUGUUCGGACAUUCAUUGGCAAAAUGUCCAACCUUUCCACACUUGUAGCAGGUCACAUCCUCGCUACAUUUCCCAAAGUGCUUUUUCUUACACUUAUCACACCACUUUGCUUCGCCUCCUUUUCCUCCAAACUUUUUCGAAUCAGAUUUCGAAAAUUUGCUUUUCUUACCGGAACCAGAUGUUCCCUCAAACUUUCUUUUCUCACCAACCUCAACCUUGUCGGUGGUUCUCCCUUUAAUCAUGUUCUCAACAGACUUGGUAGCCUAGAUAGCUGCCUCUGGAGUAUGUGCCUGACGUACUGGCACCUCGUACUCCCAUGGGAAUCCCUUUGCAUACCGGUCCACCUUUGUCAACUCGACUGGGACAAUAUGCAAGGCAAACUCCAUCUUAUCGGUGAAGUUAUUGGUGUAUUCAUCAACUGACAUGCUGCAUUUCGUCAAUGCCAAAAACUUGUUCUCCAAUUCCAAUAGAUUUUGAGCCGAGUAGAACUUGCGCUUGAACUGCGCCAAGAACUCUGCCCAUGACAAUUGCAGUGGCUCAUUAGGGCUCAAAGUCUUCCCUAGAGUGUUCCACCAACGAACGGCUCCACCUCGGAACUGACGCACUGCAUAGAUAGUCUGCAACUUACCUCUGCAGCCACACNAAAGGCUAACUCCAUUUCAAAGAUCCAAUCCAUAACCCCAAUCGGAUCCUCCUUUCCAUUGAAGGUCGAUGGUUUGCAAGUUAGAAAGUCCUUUUACUUGCAUCCCAUUCCAUCAUUCCUUCCAUCAUGGUUAUCUUGCCUAACUAUCGGUGGGUUGGCUUGACCAACAGACCCACUGAAGUUUCCACCUUCCGAGUGCCCUUCAUUUAAUUCAGGCUCUUCCACACGAAUCGACAGUUCUUCACGAUUCUGUUGAAGCAACCGUCUAGUUUCAUCCAUCUGACGAUCCAACAUCGUCUGAAUCAUCAUUUGCACACCAGCCAUGGUUAUUGGCUCAGGUGUUGCUGCUACGACAGGUAUUUGUUCAAUCACUGGUGGUUGAUUCCUGUUUUCGUCAGCAUUUCCAACUCCACUUCUUGUUCUCACCAUUUUGAUCUACACACCGAAUAAGGUGAAAUUAGAUCCUCAAUCACGAUAGAUAUUCAAAUCAUCCUUAUCACUCCGAAACGUUUACAUGCUAGUUCUAAUAUCGUAGACGUACGCUUAGAAUCCUACACACAUAAGGUUUCUAGAUCCGGUCGGCAACAGACCAUAGAUCCGAACAAAUAAUAUCAUAUAUGGCAACAUAUAACAUUUAGCACAUAAAGCAUUUUAGGCAACUUUCCUAAAAUAAACUAGUGCUCGUGUCUAAAACACAACAGACACACAUCUCAAAAUUUCACUUAGCAUUCUAAGUUUAAGUCUAGAAAUCCUACAAAUUCCUAGUUCGCUUAAACUAAUGCUCUGAUACCAACUGUGACAUCCCCAAAAUCUCGGCCAGAAAAGACCGAUUUUCAUUUAUGCUUUUAAAAUAAUUUCAGAGUAAAUCCUUUUGAUUUGAAAGAGUUGCGGAAUUUGUUCCCAAAAACAAAACAUGAUAAAACAAUGUUUACCAAAGCAUUUCAUAAAAGAAAUGUAUUUUCAUUAUAUAAUCAAAACUCGGGGUGUCAUGUUCCGAUACAGACCAAUAAGCAUAAACGAUAACAUUACAAGUCAUUCAACAAAUAUAUACAUAUACAGACUUGUAAACAAAACAACUUGAUGGUUCAUCCAUCUUAUGCCCUCGCGCCACUUCCUGUAAUACAAAUAAAACUGAGUGGGUCAGGCUUGGGAGCCUGGUGAGCAUAUAGGGUUUUCAACCCACAAUAAAUAAUCAUAUUUAAUUUCCACCAACCAACAAUAACCCAAUUACCCAUUCCCGUUAUUCUCACUUUAUGUCCCUAAAACAACUAACAUAAGGGACCUAGUCUAAGAAUAUUUCAUCGGGGCGACAACACAUGCUUCGGGGGUUCCUCAGCAAUAUAAGUCAAAUAAGGCAACCAUGAGGGGGAUGGAGUACAGCGAAUGAACACCCAAGUUCAUUAACACCUACAGGUGGCGAACCUGCUAAUGUUUCCACAAGACUAUCUAGAAAAGUAUGUGGUCGUCAUCUAAACUCCGCUAGAUGACUAAAUCAAACAACAACGAGGCCUCUCAUCUGUUUAUUACACACCAACUAUCUACCCAUGUUCUACCCAACAUAUUAGUAGAUAAAAAUAUACAUUUUUAUACAUAGAUAAAAACCUGUAUAGCAUGCUUUGAUCAAUACAUAUUCCACAUAACAGAUGAGGCACACACACAUAACACGUAUUUCAUAGAAAACAAAUCAGAUCUAUGAGAUAGAAGAGAGUGAAUAUACAUUCACACAUAUAACACAAAAUAUACACAUAACACGUAUUUCGUAUAAAAUACUUCAUAAUUAUGCGUUAGAAGAAAGUGACCACACACUCACACCUAUAAACAACAAUAUACUUAAUACACUCGAACCAUACUUGUAUUAUUAUCGUGUUUAUGAAAGGUAGUAUACACUCACUUGAUCAGAAGAUGAUCGGACAACACUACGAAUUGCAGAAGUAGUAAUCCUCAGCAGAUCUGGAAGAUCUUCACAAAAAUCGAACUUCUCGCGGGCAGAGCUUCGGCUCGGGAACCGCACUUCUCGGGAUCUCGGGACUUGCUUUGGGGCUCGAGAAUAAUACCGGGGCUUCGGGGUAUUUCUGGCACGCAAAUCGAUGCAAAAAGGUAGAGAGAAGAGAGAAAAAUAGCAAAGGAGUCGGCUGCCCUCGCAUCCUAUUUAUAGGAGGCUGGAGCCUCGGAGUACGCGGGGCGUACUGCUCCGAAAUCGUCACUGGGUUCGUCAUCCGAAGUCCUCGAGUGCGAGUGUCGACAUUCCUCGGUGUACGCGGGGCGUACUUCGGAUGAGUUCGAUGACUCGUCCUCGGAUAAUACCGGAAUUAAAGAUUAAAUUUAAAUAUAAAUUAUUUAAUAAACUUUGGAAAUUCAUAUCAUCUUCAUACGAACUCCGUUUUCGACGUUCUUUAUAUCCACGAGAAGGUGAGACUACGCUCUACAACUUUUGUUUAGACUCCUUCGGCUAAUUUUAAAUUUAUUUUUAUUAUUUAUUUUUAAUAAGCUGGGACAGAAAAACUUCGUUAUAAAUUCUUAACUUCUUCGUUUGACGUCCGUUCUCGCCUAACUUUUCAUCGCUUCGAUACCAACAACGAGACCUUCGAUCCUCGUUUAGAUUGCUUUGGCUAAAAACCCCUCGAUCUCAAAUCGAGUAUAACAGGCUACCUACCGCUAAGCCGAAACUUCGAUAAAUCAUAACUUCCUCAUACGAAGUCAGAUUUGGGCGUUCUAUAUAUAUUCGGAAACCUCGUUUCAACUACUACAACAUUAACCAAAGAUAUCAAGUUUAUUUUACACUUAAAUUUUGACGCUUAUUUUUAUUCUUAAUUAAUCAAACCACAUAAUUAAGCAAUUAAGCACAAAACACAUAAUACUCAAAUAAUACAAUCUUGUUAUUUCAAAACGGGUUACAAAGGUUAACCUAGACCAUUACAUAGCUAAAAAUGGCAAGUCCGGAAACACAGGCGUUACAUAUACUUCUACGCCUAAGUUCCACAAUUCCUUCAUAUCGUCAAUUAAUGGAGCCAAAUACACAUCAAUAUCGUUCCCAGGUUGCUUUAGACCUUAAAUUAGCAAAGUCAUCAUGAUAUAUUUUUGUUUCAUGCAUAACCAUUGUGGAAGAUUGUAGAUGCAUAGAAGAACCGGCCAUGUGUUAUGUCGAUUACGCAUGGUUCCGAACGGAUUAAUUCUGUUUGAACUAAGUCCUAAAAAGAACCAAUAGAACUUUUCUUAAUAGUCAUUUACUAUUUUAAUUUGGAUUCAUUAACUAUUAAAUAGUUCAUUAUUUAUAACAUAUUGGAUGGGUUCACAUUUAGGUAAACAUCAAUAAACUAUUCGAAGGUAUCAAUAUCAGAACAUCACGAUGAAAUUAAAAAAGAAAAAACUUUAACUUUUGAAUAGACUACUAGAUGCUUCGGAUGGAACCAACUUAAGAAAACACCCAUAAUUGAGUUGUGUAAGAGUUCAUACAUUAAAUUCAAAGAAGGUCUUGGAAACUAUGUGAUAAAGUAGAUCAUAACAUUGAAGAAAGACGAAUACUGAACUUGUUUUAUCCAUUAUGGACCAUUAUAAGACUUAACAAGAUUCUUAAAUAUGAUAUCUUCAAGUGAAACAUAUUGAAUUCAUGUUAAUGAGGUAUAUUCAGAACGAAAUAGGCGGAGCCACACCAAGAAACCAAGCAUGAAUUGUAUAAUCAGUACAUUUGGGGAAUGAAAUCAAUUUGAGAGAAUAAAUUAACCUCGAGGCAGUUAAAGUGGAUGAAAUCGACGACAACAUCAAAGUUGGGGAGAGCAACGACAACGUCGGAGCAGUGUACAACUGACUCAAUCGACAAAGCUAGGGUGAAUUCUUUAGAAUCGAUUGUGUGCAUGAGGGAGAUGAGGUCGUACUGUUUAAUUGAAUGGUAGGCUUGACAAUUCUCAACACGACCCACGACACAACACGAAAUAAAAGAGUUUGGGUUGAGUUUUUCAACCCAUCAACCCGUUUGUUAAACACGUCAUAUAUGGGUUUCUAAAAAAUAUAUGGGCUGACCCACCAACCCAUUUCGAAUUUCAAUAAAAAAAUUAUAUAUAUAUAUAUUUUUCAUGAUAUUACCGUUGAUUUUAAGUGUAGCUCCCAAUCACUGACAUCUGAUCGUGAUCCAAAUGCCAACAGAGACUUCUCAUGAAUUUCUGUAACACUUCUACCUAAGCUCAGCGCAUUUUCACCCUCAUCAGCCAGAUAAAAGAAAAGAUGUGCAGCAUCUGGCAUUUCUUCACUUAAUCUGAAAACAGCAACAAGGAACAACAAUACAGGGUAANCACUAUACAUGUUAUACUUUAUACUAGGAUACGAUACCCGAUACUGUUGACCAUUUGGUGUUUGCCCUAAAUAAUCUUAGUAUCUCACAAACAAAAUCGAAUAAGCGAAUAAGCCCUCUCUCACUCUCCUCUGUUAUGAAUGACAGAAUGAUCUCAUGAAGAAUGGUGACAUGAAUGAUUGAAUCAUUAUCGAACGACGUCAACGCCUAAACGUGAACGAUGAACACAAAAUGCAGUAGGCAAUUGAUUUGCUGCGAUCCAACCCACGGGAAAAUAAACACAAAUCUGACCCCACAAAUCCAAAUCUAACUCACGAACCCGCCAACUUGUGAACCCUAUAAAUAAGUAGGUUAACGGGUCAUAUAUGAGUUUAUAUUCCAAACCGACCAACCCGUGACCUGUAUAGUUAAAUGAGUCGUGUUCGGGUUGGUAUAAUUUGACCCGCCAACCCGCCAACCUGAACACGACACGCUUGUCAGGCCUGUUGAAGAGUACUAUAAUAUUUGUUUAUUAAUCGAGUAAAUUAUAGUUUUGGUACUUAUGGUUUGGUUAUAUUCACAUUUUCAUUCCAACCACUGAAAAUUUUACAAAAUGCAUCCCCAUGGCUUAAAGAAAUUGCAUUACACAUCCUCAGUCCAUUUAAAAAGUCUAUUUUACCCUUACUUUUAUAUUUUUGUUUUUAUUAUAUAUAUAUAUAUGUGUGUGUGUGUGUGUGUGUUUAAUUUUUUUAUAUUUGUUGCAACAUUUUAUGUUAGUUGUUUUAAGUUUUAUGAUUUAUGUUUUUUUGAAAUUUUAUUCGAAUAUAUUUUUUAAUGUUUUUUAUAUUUUGUUAGUUAACAUUUUUUUGACGUUUUUUUUAAUAAGUAAUUUUUGAUGUUUUGUUUGAAUAUAUAUUUUUUAAUGUUUUUUCGAUCUUUCGUUUUUUUAUUUUUGUAAUGCUUUUUAAAAUGGCUUCGAGUUAAUUUUUUAGUUUUAGAAACUUUUUUAUAUUUUGUUCCGAAUGACAAAUGCUAAUCAGAAUUGCUAUAACUCAAACACAAGUGUUAAUGUUUUCGAGUUCAUUUUUUUAAUUUUAUAAAUUUUGUUCGUUUCUAAUUUAUAUGGUUUCCAAUUAGCCAUUAUAUAACUUGGAACCCAUUUUCGAAUUUUGCUUAGCCUAUCUAUUAAUCCUAUUAAGAAAAAUAAUUUUAUACCUAAUCCAUGUUAAUAAAAUUCACAUUUAACGAACAUUUUUACAAAAUAUAUUUUAAAAAAUAUAGACAAACGAAAUGCCAAAAAAAAACUAAAAUGUAUUCAAACAACACGUCAAAAAACAAAAAAAAAAUAUUUAAAAAAACAUCAAAAAAUAUAAACGAACAAAAUGAUAAAAAAAAAGAUUAAACAAUAUAUUUGAAAAUGUCAAAUAAAAUCUAAAUAAUAAAAUAAAAUGUAAGCAAAAAUAUAUAAAAAACUAAAACAAUAAUAUAUAUAUAUAUAUAUAUAUAUAUAUAUAUAAGAAAAACAAAAAUAUAGAAGUAAGGGAAAAAUGGUCUUUUAAAAUGGACUAAGGAUGUGCAGUGUAAUUUCUUUAAACUACAGAUAUGCAUCUUGUUAAAAUUUCAAAGGAUGGACUGAAAGUGCGAAUCUGACCAAACCACAAGGACCAAAACUGUAAUUUACUCUUAUGAAGUUUAAAGAAUUUAAAAUGAUUUUAAAAGGUAUUAAAAAUGCUUUUGUCAAAUAUGUUAUUUAAUUGUUUGUUUAUUUAGGGUGUAUAAAUAAUAUUUUAAGAUUAGAGAUAUUUAACCAUUUAUUGAGCCAUAGAUGAAUUUCUCUAUUAUUAUCUAAUCAUAAUAUAUGUUUACUUGUCAGUAAAAAAGUCAUUAAUUGUCGAAAAAUUGCUUUUUUAAUGUGUUUUUAUAAUAGGUCUAAUGAUGUUCAUUUCUUUUGAGAUAAUCGUAUUCUAUGUAUGUAAAUGAAGUCAGGUUAGUAACGAAUGACAAUAUUCUAUUUGAUUUUCUCAAUAAAAACCUAGAAGAGUACGGCUUUUGUUUGCGAACAAUACUGUAUCCCUAAUAUAAUAUGGAUUCUUGUGUAACCGUAAUCUAUUAGGCGUAUUCUAUUUGCUAAUUUAUAGUGGUGGUUCCAAAUCUAUGGGUUGAAAGCACCAAGAUUACUAAUCACAAACAAUGUCCCCUAAUGGGACGUUAAGAAAAGUGCACUAUCAUUUGGUUUGCAUAAGGUUAGGUCAAUGCAACGGACGAAGUGUAUUACAACAAAGCCCUCCAUAUUAAUUAUUCACUUUCUUCCCCUCACCCCACUUACUUCCGUCUUCGUACGUGUUUUCAGAUGUCUUUGCUACCUACACAUCCGGAUCCCCAUUCCACAUAAACUCUCACCGUACAAGUCCAUAUGUUUUCCUUGUCUACCCAUCCAAACAUUGUGGGUAUUCAUGUACAUUGUGGGUAUCCAUGUUUUGACCUAUUAUCGUGCAAAUUCAUUCUCUCUCCUCACGUCUCAUUUGACGAGACAAUUUAAAUUAUGGUUUGAUCGUACCAAAUUACCUACCUUCCCACUCCUGACAACAUGGAACCAUCUCAUAUGUUUUGACAUGUACAUGAAUUUGACCUUCAUCCCAUACACUAGUGGCGAGUUUAGAACGUAAAACCAUGUGGUUUACUAUUUAAGUGAACCCGAUCAAAAACUAGUUACAGGCACGAGUCAGGUCAAAUAAACAAUAAAAAAUAAAUAACUAACUUGUUAUGAAUUGAAGGGCUAAGCCGCUAAGGAAAGUGAUUGGCCAUAGAUUUGUGGUUUGGGCUCGGCAAUCAUCUAUAUAAGUCUUGGUAGGGUCUUGGUCAUGUUGGAAGUGUUUGUAAUUUGUUGAUGUGUGUUUUUGGCAGAGUUGGUGUUCACGGCCGUAAACGGGUUUACGGUCGUGAACUUGUUUACGGCCAGUCAAUCCCAAUAAAUAGUAUGUGUCAGAGUCUAUCAGAGUGACAUAACAAUAGAGUUUACGGUCAGUGUGUGUGUUCUUCAAGGUGUACCAGACGUUUUGUGAAUAAACGUGUGCAUUGCUUGAUUAUCUUAUUCUUCUACUCAUUCUUGUUAUUGUUUGUUUUGAUAACGGUUUGAUUCACUUAAUUGGGACCUUACAAUUGGUAUUAUAGAAAAUCUGGUGUCGAAACAAACUUUAGUGGUGUUUAUGGUUGAAAGGAUCUUCAAUUUCUUCAUUCUUCAAGGCUUGGUUCUACAUUCGAUCGUGUUUUCACAGCUAAGGGAAUUAAAAUCUGCUUGAAAAACUGUCGUUUUCAUCAUUUCUGGGAGUUUACGGUUAGAGAUAUUGAAGGGAGUAUGACCGUAAACUCCAUACACAGCCGUAAUCGCUUGAUCUUCAAUAGCCACAAACAACUAAUCUUCAGAAGCCGUAAAUAGUUAAUCUUCAAGGAUCAGAAAUGAUUAAUUGAUUGUAAACCACUUAACCGUAAUCUAGUUUACGGCCGCAAACUCUUCUAUUGCCUUAAUCUUUAAUUUUCUUUUACAUUUCCAUUAAUUAAGAAGAUUAAAAAAAAAUCAAAAACAAAAAAAUGGAUUCACAAAACUCAACAAUUCUUCAUGAACUGGAUCCUAUAAUGGGAACAGCCACAUGUAUUCCUCGUCUGGUAUCUGCCGAAGGUUUCCCAAAAUGGAAGUAUCGGAUGGAAAAAUAUAUCAAGAUGAAAGAUUUCAAAAUUUGGAGAUGCAUCUUAAAAGGGCCUAUCAGAAUUACAACAACACUUGAGAAUGGAACAAUUAUUGAUAAGAAUGUUGAGGAUUAUACUGAUGAAGAUUUUGACAAAUUUGAACAGUAAGAGAAAGCACUUGCUACACUUACUAUGACUCUUUCUCUAGGAAUUCCCCAGGGUUUUCGGGAAUACACAUUAGCAAAAGCUCUGUGGGAAGCUUUGAUAGAAGUGUACGAAGGAAAUGAGGAUAUGAAACAAAGUCGUCAAGACAUGCUGCGACAGAAAUAUAAUAUGUUUAGUCACAUUCUUGGAGAAACUUUGGAAGUUCAACUACAGUGUUUUAUCACACUCACCACUGAGAUGAGUUUAGCCGGUAUCUCAGUGCUAAGAUCAGAAAUCAACAAAAAGUUGCUUAACUCUCUCCCAAAGGCGUGGGAUAUGAAUGUUAUUGUUAUCAACAAAACAAAAGAUCUUAAUCGACUUAGUUUGGCUGAAAUCAUGGCCAUCAUUAAAGCUUGUGAUCUGGAUGACAAGCAAAGAGAGAUCAAUCACGUUAACUCAUACUCCUCUACUAAUCUCGGAAUUCAAUCCAAAUAUUCUUUCUCAUCCUUCACCAAUCCUCAAGUUCAACCAUUUGUUGCUCCUCAACCAUCAUCCUAUGACAUUCCAUCCAUGCAAAGUGUUCAAUCUCCAGUAUCCUAUUCACAAGUUGCUUUUUCUUCCAAGACACCUACUCCAGUUCCUGCUCCAACUCAUGAUCCCAAAGAAAAUGACGAAAAUUUGUCCCUUGCAACCAGUCUUGUCAACUGUUAUGAUGCUUUUGUGGCUGGUGAGCUACCUCCUCAACUGUCAUUUGCUGAUUUGGAUCAAAUUCAUCCCGUAGAUGUUGAAGAGAUGGACAUAACAUGGCAAAUUGCUAUGGCGGUGUUCAGAGCCAAACAGUUCUCCAAAAAGACAGGUAAAAAUAAUUGGGGAAUGAAUGCAGAGAAGAAGGUAGGUUCAAUAAAGCAAACUCCGAUGCUUUAACUGCCAUAAACCUGGCAAUUUUGCCAGAGACUGCCCUAAGCCUGAUAGGUGAGAGAGAACAAUGAAAGAACAAUGGUGCCAGUAGGUAACAGCAGGGGAGCCACCAUCAACAAUCAGACCGCAAAUCUUGCAGUGGUGGCUUAUUCAUUUGACUGGGACGACCAAAUUCAGGCUCUAAACAUCUCGGGACCUGAAAAUGCGCAUCUUGCCCAGAUCAAUGACAGAGCAGAAUGAAAGCUGAUAUGGAUCUGGAGGCGGAAAUGAUGGCACUCCAAUUUGCAUUCUUGGUUCAAACUACGAUAGAGCUUGAAAAUCCAGAGGUCAGUGAAAACACUUGUUCUGAAUCUUGUUUUCAAACUAUCAAAUUUUUACGUGAACAGGCCGAUUUGAUGCGUAGAGAGAUUGAGGAACUCAAGUAUGAGGGAUACCAACUUAGAAAAGGCCAUAAACCAUUAAAAGAUCAAUAAGAGGCCAAGACAAAUGACUAUAAGAAAUUACAGGCAGAAUAUAGUGACAUGUGUGUUCACUAUAGAUAUCUUAAAAAGGAUUUUGAUGUUGUAACUGCUGAACUUGACACAUUGAAGACUCGUUUUGCAAAUGCUGAUUUUAACUUUAGGAAAUUCAAUGUGUCAAGUGAAAGAGUUGCAACAAUAAUUGAACAUCAAAUGCAAUGGAAGGACCAGAAACAAGUAGGAAUAGUUAUGAGAGUGUCCCUCCAUUCUAUCACAAUUACAUCGCUACUCUUUUGAUUCAAUUUGAGAUUGACCGUGAACCAUUUAUGGUUUACGGUAAACCAACGGCUGAACAAGCUUUGGAUGGGGGCUUUUGAAAGAUCGGAUGUGUGGCUGCUAGAGAACCCAUGAUAAAAGAAGAUCAAGCUUAUGCUAGCCACAAACCACGAGGGAGAUUGAUAGGUCAUAGAUUUGUGGUUUGGGCUAGGCAAUCAUCUGUAUAAGUCUUGGUCAUGUUGGAAGUGUUUGUAAUUUGUUGAUGUGUGUUUUCAGAAGAGUUGGUGUUCACGACUGUAAAUGGGUUUACGGCCAUGAACUUGUUCACGGUCAGAGUCUGUCAGAGUGACGUAUCAAUAGAGUUUAUGGUCAGUGUGUGUGUUCUUCAAGGUGUACCAGACGUUUUGUGAAUGAACGUGUGUAUUGCUUGAUUAUCUUAUUCUUCUACUCAUUCUUGUUAUUGUUUGUUUUGAUCAUUGGUUUGAUUCACUCAAUUGGGACCUUACAAAAAGAGGACUAUCGGAGGGGAAGAGCCGGAGCUGCUGUAAGCGGUGUCGGAGGGGAGGGUGUCGACGUUCGACGAACAACGACACUGCAGCAGGCGGGGACUGAUUGGCUAUUUAUGAAGUGUGUGUCCUGUGUGAACUGAACUGUCAAACUAGAAUUUGAGUUGAAGAAUGAAACGAAGAUUGCUGAAAAUAAUCCCCCAUUUUUUCCUUUAUUUUAUUUUAACUUUUAUUUGGCUAUUUCUUAUAUGAUUAUCGUUGCUAUGUAGCCUUCUAGAUGCUAGCGAUUUGGUCGUCUUCUCUUCUAAUACACAAAUAGAAAGACAUGCUGCAAACACUACAAAUAAUAUUAAAUGUAAUGGCACAUACAUAUUGUUUUUUGUGCCAUUAUAAAAUAUUUUUAGUGGCACAGUUUUUUUUGUGCCUCACUUAGUUCCUCCAAAGAUUAAACGAGGUUCCCUUUACCCUUCUCUGUUUUCUAAUUUCCUUUUUUGUACUUUUCCCUAAUCGGACGCCAAAGCAUAAAAUUGACUUCUCACCUUGUCUUUCAGCCUCCAAUCCUCUACUUCUAUAGGAGGACAAUGAUUCCACUAACGAUGCAACCCCUACGUCAGACUAGUGACUACAUUGCAUCCCCAUAUUUAACCGGCGCUGCCUUCCGGGCGAUGAUGCAUCCACACCAUCUGACUAACAUAAUAUGGACAACGAUUUAAGUUUUUAUAUGUCUCAUUGUUGUUAUUAAAGGGAUUUAUAAUUUUACACUUUCUUUGUACAGUUUGGAAUUGAGAAGCCGAUAGGGUCGCUACAAUGCUUUUGUGCAAGUACAACUACAAUCGUGUUUAUGGGUGCCAGUGCAAUACUUGGCCUUCUAUGUUUUGAUCGCAUGGUACAUAUUUUUUCUUUUUGUUCAUAAUGUUUUGUAUGCAUCUGUAUGUAUCUAUAAUUUCAUGGAACUCUUUUCAUUUUUGGGAAAUAGAUAUUGCAAGAAAAUGCAGGAAUCGUCGAAAAGAAUAUUCCCUUCUUCAAGAGCUAUUUGGUUAUCAACCAAUUUAUGGAAUUAAGAUCACAGUUUAAAGUCUGGAUUAGUUAGUCAUACAUUUGUUGUUGCACUAAGAGCCCUCAUUUUGGUAAGUUAUUUAGGUUCAACAUAUGAUGGUUUUUACUGCAUAUAAUUAUAAAUAAUGAUAUAGAAUCUAGAUAUUUGAUAUAGAGAGUAAUGCAACUUGGUAAAUUCUAAGUUUUGGAAACUAUAGUGAUAUUUACUAAUACAGUAACAAAUUAAGUUUUUCAAUAGGAAUCAUCAGACUUAUAACACAUUUUAGUGUCAAUAAUAAAUAAUUAUUUUUCACAAAGUUAUCAAGCCAUGGUUAUUAUCAAGUACUUUUGUAUAAACUUCAUUUUUAUUGUUUAUAUAUUUACAACUUAUGAUGAGUAUUUUAUUUUUUGGUUUCAUGAUUAAUAUUUUUUCACUUUUAUAUAUUUGCAGCCAAUGAUAGAUCAACGCAAACAUUAUCAAUAAUAAUAAGGAAGGCAUCAAUAAAUAAUUUUGUGGGUUCAACAUUCUUAACCUUUUACAACACAAUGUUUAGACUUGUUAAACCUUUUGGAAUGUAUUUUUGUUUUAAAGAUUAACAAUAUUAUUGUAAGAUAAGUUAAAUUUUAAUUUAAGUUAUGCUUUUGUGUUUUGCAUUUAUAAAAAAAAUUGGACCUAAUUUUAAAUAUAAAUAUUUUGUAAUAAAAAAAAGAGCCUCUAAAAUCAUAAAAAAAUGUUUUUAUUUUAGUAAUUAUAUAGUGGCAUAAAAAAGCAUCACAAAAACCAAAAUUGCUAUUGUCGCAUAAAAAAAGAACUACUAAAACAUCAAAGGGCUGCAACAACACAACGAAAAAGUAUCAUUAAAAUUCAUUAGUGCAGUGCUUUUAGUGACAUUUUUUUGUGUCAUUGAUUGCCAAGGGAACCUUUAGUGACACUUUUUUUUGGCUUUUAGUGACAUUUUUUCUGUGCCACUAACUUUCGUAUUAUUCGUAGUGAAGAGAUAGACAAAUACUAUGUAAGAAAACGAUACCAAUGGACGGACUCCAAUAUUGCUUUGUGAUGCCUAAGAUAUUUAUUUGGAGUAUUGCUAAAUUGUUUAUGGUGAAAAAGUUCUACCUUUAUCAAUGCAUCUCUUGGUCUUUAUAUACAAAUGGAAGAUUCGAGGUUGUUGACCAUAUGUUGCAAGGGCAAUCCCUUCACUAUAAUAGUAUUAUAUUUUCCGUGUUUCCUGAAAUGUUUUCUAUAUUUGCACAUAUGAUUUUCUUUCUAUAAAAAAUUGUUUUACUGACUACACCAUUGGUUUGCGCUACUAUGGGGAGCCAGCCUGGUAAGCGAUGUGGUUAUCAGGUUGAUUUGGCCUUCUUUAAUGCUGUCAUAUCUUUCACGUCUCAAUUUUCAACAUAACUUUUUCAUUUUUAAUUAUUCAAAUAUAUCAGAGUAUAUUUACACUAUGAAGAAUACAUGAUGCGAAUGCAUGUGUGUACAGUCGAGCCUUGUCAUUCUCACGAAUCAAUCAAGUAUCUGAAAUACAUUUAUAAUCGCAUAUGUAAGCAUGAAACUUAGUGAGUUCCCAAAAAUAACAUAUUGCACAAUACAUAUAGAAUGCAUAAACAUAAUGGCUCACGAACUUUCGCAGAUCCACCGAUAAUACACAUAAUGACCUUCAACACAAAGCUGCUCUGCCCAUUGGCUUUCAAAAUUAAGUUGGUCCGCAAGAAUAUAUUGGCCUUCAACAUGAGGCUGGUCCGCUCUCAACUCCUACAUAAUAUAUAUCAACACACACACACACACACACACACACAUAUAUAUAUAUAUAUAUAUAUAUNNNNNNNNNNNNNNNNNNNNNNNNNNNNNNNNNNNNNNNNNNNNNNNNNNNNNNNNNNNNNNNNNNNNNNNNNNNNNNNNNNNNNNNNNNNNNNNNNNNNNNNNNNNNNNNNNNNNNNNNNNNNNNNNNNNNNNNNNNNNNNNNNNNNNNNNNNNNNNNNNNNNNNNNNNNNNNNNNNNNNNNNNNNNNNNNNNNNNNNNNNNNNNNNNNNNNNNNNNNNNNNNNNNNNNNNNNNNNNNNNNNNNNNNNAUAUAUAUAUAUAUGGAAAUAUGGUAGAAGUUAUAUUUUUCACUAAAUCCAAAUAUACUUUUCAUGGCUAUCAAAUAAGGAUCGGUCAGGCGGAAUAGUUGGGAGGCAGGACCAUUUCGACAUAUAGUUUUUUUGAAAUCCAAAAAUCAAGCCAAUAUGCCCAUUCUAGACACAUCUCCUGUAAGUAGACCAACAAGAACAUUUAAAUAUAAUUAAUGACUAAUUUGGUACUUAUAGGUUUCUAGUAACAAUUAUAAACAUAUUUAUAAGUUACCCUAAAAGCCUAGUAAGCGUAGCUUAACAUACAAAGAUUUCUAGCAAAAAACUGAAAAGUUGCAGGUGGAACCUCGAUACUGAGCACUUCUUUCUCCACGACUCUAUGUUGUCCUAGAGCCUCGCUAAAUUAGAACUUUCAAGAAUCUCAAAAAUACUUUAGAAAUUCAUAGCUUUAGAGAAAGAGAGAGAGAGAGAGAGAGAGAGAGAGAGAGAGAUAAGAGCGAUUAGUAUGAGAAUGAGAGGGAGUUUGGCUUCUAUUUAUAGGUAGUGUAACAUCUCGACUCCCUGGUAUUUCCUAUUUAUUUAUUUAUUAUUGAGGCUUCAUGUGUGAUUCGACUAUUUGUGAGCCUAACUCGUCGAGUAGAGUCCGAUUAGACCAUGUGGGUUUAAUGAUCGACUCGACAAGUCAGAGAGCUGACUCGCCGAGUAAGCGCUGUGAGGUGAAACCUUAAAUCCCCGGGUUUGGGGCCUAUUUAACAGAACUUAUGUCCUCAUUUACGCCUCACCAGCUACCUAACACCCCUGAGUGAAACCCUAAAUGUGUGUAGUGAGCUAAGAGAGUUAUAGAGCUAAUCCUUGAGUAUUCUAGUGCAUCUUUGGAGGAGAAGAUGAGAUUAUCCAACAAGGAACGAGGAGGAACUAUUGGAUCUAGUGUUAUAUCGACCAAGAACUUCUGUCCAAAGUUCCCAGCUUUAUUUAAACACCCUUGUUAGAGUUGUAUUGGCAUUUUGGAGCAAAAUGUGUCGUGCAAGAACGUAAAGAUCAAAGCUUUAUGUGACAUUCAAGCCUUGGGAGCCUAGAUAUAGAGUGUGGAGUGGUAGAUCUGCCUUGAAACAUCUGAAUGAGAAUUCAGACUGAAGGGACUCUUUGAGUCAACGAGCUGACUCACGAGUCUGCUAGGGUUUUCCCCGAUGAGUCUGGACACGAUUAACUCGGCGAGUUGACAGGCUAACUUGACGAUUUGAGUUGGGUUUUCACGAGGUUCUGAAGGAACAAGGGGGACUCGGCAUGUCACAUAGAUGCACUCGACGAUUCGGGUCAACAUGGACAGUUGACUCAAGUGUUAACAUCUGUUGACUUUAGGGUUUGGUUAAGGCAGGCGGUAUGAGGACUGUGAAAGGGUAAAAUGGUCUUUUACCCAUUCCAUGAGUUUGAGAGAGGGGUUAACCUAGCUUAUUUCGAGUCAUGAUUUAAGUGUUGGUUAGAGGUUAUUAUCUUAUGUGUUAGGCGAAGGCUAGUUCGAGAUUCGUGUACGAGAUUAUUACUUACUUGAUUAUGAGGUGAGUCUUCUCACUAUACUUACCAUGAGUGUUAUCUAUGUGUGAUCAGAGGGUCUUAUGUGUAAUAUUGAGUAUUUUGAUAUAUCCUGCAUUAUGUCUUUGUGAUUUAUGAUGAGUAUUAUUAUUAUGAGCAUGUUGAGUUUGCACUGGAGGGUCCUCCGGAGUUGUGGGACUGGAGGGUCUCCACUGAGACACAUUAACCAGAGGGUCGUAUUGAGUUAGCCUCGAGUGCUAAUGUGAUGUGUGUGCUAUUUUGGGGAACUCAGUAAGCUUCGUGCUUACUGUGUUAUGUGUUAUGUGUUUCAGGUACUUCUUAGGAUCACGGGAAGGCACCGGCUUGAUUGUACACACACUUGAGUUGGAGAUAUGUUUUGGAGGAUCUUGGAUUUGUGUUAUGAACAGUUUUGGGACAUGUGUUUUGAUAAAUUAAUGUUUGUGGGAUUUUUGGGAUUUUUGGGAUUUUGGAAAUGAGAUAAUUGUGUUUGGAAUGAAAAUUUUUGUUUGAAAAUUUACGGUGUUACAAGUUGGUAUCAGAGCCUUGGUUUGAGGGAUUCAGAUGCACCUCCAAGUUUGUUUGGACUCAAACUAUGGAUUUGAGAAAAAAUUUCAAAAGAAAUGAUCUUUUUGAAACAAGAAAUGAGUUUUAAGAGAAAACGAGUUGGAGCAGUGUGUACAAUCAGCCAGAGCCCGAACGGUGAUUUCCCAAAAUAGGCUAGGUAUUUCAUAUUCUAGGGCUUGAGUUGCCUGAUUUGUGAUGCUUUAGCCUAGGAGAUGCUAUUGAUCAAUGCUGUCAGUUAUUUGCCCUGAGUAUCUACUGAGUUAUGAGUUGAGGGUUAAUCUAGGAGAGAUACUUAGAUGAGCUUGUGAGUAGCCUACUGAGUGAGUAGUCUAAUAUUUGUGAGAGAUAGAGUACUUGUGAAUUAGAAUCAUAGGAGGAAGAGUUGGGGUGACUACAGGUUAGGGGUGGAAGGUAGUAUUGGACCCGUACUACUGAAAGCACCAUAUCAGUAUGCAACCCAAGUAAGAAUCCUUAGGAUGCCAAGGAACAAGUAGGGAUGAGUGGUCGAGUGUGUGUACGCUUGAGUGAAUUUCUGAUGAGUUUUGUGUUGUGUUUCAGAGACAUCAUGGUGGUUACACACCACAACCUCGAGAGCAGUGGGAUUAGCGAUGAUGAGAUUCGCAGGAUGAUUCAUGAUGAGGUGGUUGCAUCCAUUCGAGAGGCGAUUCCUGAGAUGUUUGGGUCUAUUAAGACCACCCUGAUUGAUAUAUUUGAUAAGCAAUAUGCUGCUGCUACUGAGGUGGCUGUUGUUGCAGCCACCGCAGCUGUCAUAGCUGCCAGGCCACAAGGAGGUGACUCGUUGCUGUAUCGGCAGUUCAGCAACACGAAGCCACAAGAGUUUGAUAGGAUAUAGGAUUUGAUUGCUGCUAUGAGGUGGAUCUUUGAUAUUGAGGGAUGUUUUUACACAUGUUCUUGCCUAGAGCAUUUAAGGGUUCGGUUUGCGUUGAACCAGCUUUGCUUUGGAGCGAAGGACUGGUGGAAGUUUGUGACAGCCAGUUUUACUCCUGCAGAGCAUACUUAAGUGACUUGAGAUAGGUUUACUUUGAUGUUCCGAGAUGAGUAUGUUCCCCCGGUGGAGAGGGAACGGUUGGCCCAUGAGUUUCUGUCUCUCAAUAAGAAGACAGAGUCGGUGAGUAAUAUUACAUAGAUAUUUCACAAGAGGGCAUUGUUCUGCCCUGAGCAUGUGUCGACUGAGCAGGCACGCAUGAGACGGUAUUUGAGCAUCUUGAGGAGGGAUAUUCGAGUGUUCAUGGCAAACUCGUCUUAUCGGACAUUUGCUGAGCUUCAGGCUAAUAUCAUGAGGUGGGAGAUCAAGCUGGAGACUCGGGCCAGGGAGGAGACGGAGUGUCAGGUUAGAGACUGGCGGCCGACGCAUUCACAACUGGCAGCGAAGUGAGCUAAGCCCACUAAUACGAGGACUGGGGGCCAGAAGGGCUGCAUUUGUGGAAAGUGUGGAAAGAGUCACGAGGGGUCGUGCUAAGCGGGGAUUUGGUACAAAUGUGGAAAAGAGGGGCAUAUGGUGAAGGAUUUCCCCAAUGGGUUUGCAGUUUUCUUCCACUGCAACCAGACUGGCCAUCGGAAGGUCGAGUGCCCCCAGCUUCUUUAGGGAUCAGCACAGGGAUUUGCACCUACUGCCUUACGUGCUACUGAUAGUCGGCCGGUGAAGGCCGAGGUUCUGUGGGCUCGUAGGAGAGCUUUUCAGCUGACAGUAGAGGAGGUCCACGCAACACCUUAUGUCGUGGCUGGUACAUAUUUCCUUAUAUAUUUAUUUGAGAUUUAUUGUGCUUAUUAUGUGUUAUAUUUAGGUACAUUUCUUGUGAGUUCUGUACCCGCUUUGGUGUUAUUUGACUCGGGUGCGAGUCGAUUCUUUGUUUCUUCAUAUUUUAGUCGUCACAUCAGUAUCCGCCGUGAGGCGUUGAGUCAACCUCUGAUGGUUUCUAUAGCUGACGAGCAUGCGGUUUUUUCUACUGAUGUAUUCUGAGGAUGUGUGCUGGAGAUUUUUGGUGUCGAGUUUCCGAUUGAUUUGGUACCGAUUACAAUGGGUGAUGUCUGUGUCAUCGUGGGCAUGGAUUGGUUGAGCCGUUUUGGAGCAGUGAUCGACUGCGAGCGUCAGUUGGUGACUAUAAGAAACCCUAGUGGGGGAGUGCUUACAGUGUAUGACGAGGGUACCAAAUCUAGGUCAGCCUUCUGCUCUGCUGCCAGGGAGAUGCAGAGUUUACAACAGGGUUGUAUAGGCUUCUUGACAUACGUGAUGGAUAAGCGAUGUGACAUCCCCAAUUUCACGGCCAGAAAAGACCGAUUUGUUUACGCUUUAUUUUAUAAAAUCAGAGUAACCCUUUGAUUAAAAGAGUUGCGGAAAUUUGUUCCCAAAAUAUGAUAAAGAUUUAUCACAGCAUUUCCAUAGAAAUGUAUUUCAUUAAAAAGAUUCAGGAUGUCAUGUUCGAUACAGACCAAAAGCAUAAACAUAACAAAAUAGACCUUACAACAAUUAUUUAUAACUACUGGCCUAUAAUCCAAAAUCUCUCGUUAUGCCAGCCAACUUAUGUGCUCGUUCCAUAACCUGUAACAGAAAGAAAAUUGAGCGGGUCUGGCUUGGGAGCCUGGUGAGCAUAUAGGGUUUUCAACCCACAAUGUUAUAUCAUAUAUGUAUAUAUAUUAGAACUCACAAAAUUAUAAAAUUUCACCAAAUAAAACAACUCUUAUCUCACCCUGUCGAUCCUCACAAAGACAGGAUCUAAACUCCUGAAUCAAAAUUUUCCUCUUUACAUGAUCCUUACUCACGGAUCUAAAACUAACCUCUUGAUCUGAUCUGAACUCCUAGAUUUAAAAUUAAUCUCCUGAUCUAAUCCAUACUCCCAGAUCUAUAAUUGUGCCCAAUCCAUAAUCCCGGACUAGGGACAAUUAACUAUGUCUUAAUCCAUACUCUCGGAUUAGUAACAACUUUAUCUCGUUUAUAGACAAUAUCGUUUUCAAGACCCCUCUCGCAAUACGUGUCAAUGGGUUUUUAGAGUACACCGGUGAACAUCAAGUUCACAACACCUACAAAUUGCGAGCCUGCUAGUGUUUGACUGGACUGUCUUGAAUAGUCCGUGGUUGUCAUCCAUACUCUGCUGAAUGACGGGGGCCAUCGUUUGGGUAAAGGUUUCACUCAUUUUUCACCUGUCACCCUCACCUCAAGAUCUAUAUCACCUUUUAUCUCUUUAUCCAACUCAUCUUUUAUCACAAACCGACUAUCUUAUCUACCCCUAUUCUACCCAACAAAUUUGUAGAUAUAAAACACAUAUACAGUUUAACUCAUUUAAAAACUAUAUAAAACAUCCAUUCCACACUCAUCUCAAAUAAACAACAAUAUAUAAACACAUAGCACGUUUUUCAUAGCAAAUACUUCAUAUUUAUGUGUUAGAAGAAAGUGACUACACACUCACUCAUAACGUAUAUGUAAUACAUUCAAACAAUACUUGUAUUAAAAUCGUGUUUAUGAAAGGGACUAUACACUCACCUGAUCAGAAGAUGCUCGGACAACACUACGACUCUAAAAGUAGUAUUCUUCGGUGAAACUGGAGUAUCUUCAAACACCGGGCUUCUCGUGGGUAGAGCUUCGGCUUGAAACUCUUUUCUUCUCGGGAUCUUCGGGGCUUCAGGACUCGCUUCGGGUUUCAGGAUGAUACCGGGGCAUCGGGGGUACUUCAGGAUAGCUAUAGAGGGUAUCGGGAGUGAGAGAGAAGAGAUGGAGCAACCAAAUUCGGCUGACCCUGGAUUUCUAUUUAUAGGGCCGAUUUUCCAAUCUCACAUCAUGAAACUCAAGUGCUCACGUCGUGAGCUUAGUCGUCACUGCGUUCAUCACUCGUCCACUUGCUCUGGAGGGUCUCCAGUCUCUGCUCACGUCGUGAGCUCUGACAUAGCCUCGGAAUUUGUGUUUCGAACUUCAGAAAUUUAUAUCUUUCGCAUACAAGGUCCGUUUUCGACGUUCUUUAUAUCCACGUGUAGGUGAGAUUAUGCUCUACAACUCUUGUUUAGAAUCCGUUGACUAAUUUUGAAUAUAUUUUUAUUAUAUUAUUUUUAGUAGACUGGGACAAGAAAACUCCGAUAUAAACUCAUAACUUCUUCAUCUGACGUCUGCUUUUGUCUUUCUUUUUACCUUUGAACUACUAUCGAUGAGAUCAUCGAUUCUCGUUUAGAUUGUUUCGGCUAGAAAUCACUCAAUCUCAUAUUCGAACUUUAGGAUUCAUACCGCUAAGUCGAAACUUCAAAAAAUCAUAACUUCUUCAUACGAAAUCAGAUUUAGACGUUCUUUUUAUGCACACUCUCGGUUUAACGUAUUCUAUGACUUUCGUUUAGAUCACUAAGGCCAAAUAUCGCUCUAUAGUAAAUUCACUAUUUACGUCGCGCUAUGUCGUGCCGGUUUUGUCGUGAAACUUCGGCAGGUCAUAACUUCUUGGUUAUAACUCGGAUUCCGGCAUUCUUUAUAUAUCCGGAAUCCUUGUCACAACCACUACAACUUCGUUAAGACUAUUCAUUUUAAAUAAUAUUUUAUCAAAAAGUCAUUUUUGAUGCUCAUUGUAUCUAAAUUAACUUGUCCUGAUCUACGGGGGUUACACGUGAGUUGUUUCAAAGAGGUCGAGUUCUAUCUCCGAGGUUCCGAUUGUGUGCUAGGUGUGCCGCCCGGGAGACAGGUGGAGUUCAGGAUCGAUUUAGUUCCGGGAGCGGCGCCUAUUGCAAAGGCACUUUAUCGCCUUGCGCCACCAGAGAUGCAUGAGUUAUCCUCACAGCUCCAGGAGCUGUUGGGAAAGGGUUUUAUCAGACUGAGUAGGUCGCCGUGGGGAGCACUGAUCCUUUUUUUCAAGAAAAAGGACGGUUCCAUCUUGAUAUUUGAAUACAAGGUUUUUACAAAUAAUAAUAUUAAAUGUAUUGCCUUAACAGAUAGGCAUAUAAUACAACAGCAAGUAAACUAGGUCACCUAUAGUCAAUCCGUAUUCAAUGUCUAUUUAGUGAUUUCCUAAGAAAACAUGCAGUUUUGAGGGUCAACACAAGUUUAGUAAGAGUUACAGGUUUUCUGCUAACAGUAGUAAUACUUUUAAAACGUCUAAAAAAAUAUUUUCUUUGUAAGUAUAACACUAGUUAAAACUAUGUUUUUUAAGAGUCUUUAAAAGCCAAAAUGUAUCUUUGUAUAAAUAAAUCCAUACUUAAAACUACGUUUGUAAAGAUUCCUUGAAUAUACAUGAAAACCAUAUUGUACCGUUGCAUAAGUAAAUCCAUACUUAAAAUAGUUUUGAAAGAAACCAAGCCCAUGGGUUUUAGUGAGAGAGAGAGAGAGAGAGAGAUUCCGCUUAGUGUUUAUAGUGAGUCCCAUAACCGAGCUAUAUGACUGAAUGUACCCCCUACAACGCUUCAUUGGACGUUAUAGUAACAAUUGUAGACACUUAUCACCCACUUCGAUUGAUCGUUUGAGGUUGUAUCUACCAACUGCAGGUGGGGAUGUCAACCUUAAAUAGAUCCAUACAUAUGCAUCUCACUCCGAAGAUUAACAGUUAUAGUAGUGUGGGUAUGCUAAGUGUUUAGACCCAGCUAAUGAAUAUAAUCUCACUGAAAAGUCGUUAACUAAAGUAUGUGAAUAACUCUCAGCCCUAACUUAAUUGUGGUUAAGUCACUAGGCAUAAUGAAUUUCAUUGUAUAAAGUUUAUAAAAGCCGAGUAUGCUUGGUAUGCAUCUAAAAAUGUAAUGUACUUGCUUUUAUAAAGAUGUACGCUUCAAAGCAAUGAACAUAUGUACAUAUAUAAACUUUAUAUAUUUAAACAUGUAAAUAUACAUGAAUAGUAAUAGCUUGAAUCCUUGAAAUACUACAAAGUUUUAUAACAUGUUUGUUAUAAUAUACAAAGUCACAUAAAAAUUAUAUAUUUUUGUAUCAUGUAGAAUUUGUUGUGUAGACUAGUUAUUUCACGAUAAAAUAACCAUAAUACAUAUACGAAAAGUUUAUACUAGUUUAUUUGUAACAAUAUGUUACAUUUUUAUAUACUAGACUAGUUGUAUUUUCGCAUAAAAGGAUAAUUUGUUUGUAUAAACGAAGUAUAUCAGCACAUGUAUUCCCCCCCACCCACACNAAACGAAGUAUAUCAGCACAUGUAUUCCCCCCCCCCCAAGAUAACUAAAAUUAUUAAAAAUGGCUGUAAGUACUCACCCUUGAAGUGUGAGUUCGAGUUGUUCGGAGUUCGUUUAUUUUUGGGAAGAUUGACGUGAGAAACCGUAAAGUCACGUUUCUUGAACUUUGAAAUAUUUCCGGGACCGUUUCGUAACGAAAUCAGAAGAAGGAAACACGCAGGCGACGACUCUGCAUGUGGGUCCUUGCUCGUCGGAGGUCACAAAGAAGACCAAAGGAAGAUGAAGCUCGUAGGCGGCUAAUGCGAAUAUUUUUGUCGAUUGAUCCCGAAAGGAACGUCUCCGGGGGUUGACGGGGCCGAAGAAACGGAGGGAAGAGCAGCGAGGCUGCGCUAUUUCUGUCAGAUAGUGAGAGGCGAAAGGGAAAGCGGUUUAGUGGUUUUUGGAUCGAGGGUGUGGUGUGGCUAAGAGGUUGCGAAGGGAGGGAAAAGGAGAACAGAAGCAGCGGUGCUUCUGGUGGUCUCGGUGGGUGCAGCGAGAGCUGCUCAAUCGGUUUGCCUUCGUUUUUUUUCUUCUUAUUUUUUUGUUUGUUUUCACAGAAAUCGAUGGAACACAAUUGGGUGUUUGGGUUUGAUUUUUGAUAGAAAAAAAAAACGAGGGAGGCUGCCACGAGGAAGAAGAAGGAAGAGAAGAACGAAGGAAGAAUGAAGUGGAAGCUGUGGUUCUUUUUGUUUGCAUCGAGAAUAAGAACAAGAAUGUUGUUGACUGGAAACAAAGAUGCAGGCAGAAAAUAAAGGUUUCCAGUUUAAGAUUUAAAUUGUUAUUGGUUGGUAUUGGUUGAAGGAAGAGUGCAAGCAUUUGUGUGUAAUUUUAGAUGUGCAAGAAUUUAAUAGCUGUCAUUUAUCUACAAUUUGUGUAUUUUGUGUGAAAUUUGCAAAUAUUGAAUUUCUUCAUGUAUUAUGUGUAUGUAUUGAUGUAUUAAUCUAAUUGGUCAUUUAUUUGUGUGUAUUUUUGAAAAUUAGAUGGUAGAUAAAGG
rnacentral:lncRNA from 1 species